rnacentral:rRNA from 1 species
GAGUUUGAUCGUGGCUCAGAUUGAACGCUGGCGGCAGGCCUAACACAUGCAAGUCGAGCGGAUGACGGGAGCUUGCUCCUUGAUUCAGCGGCGGACGGGUGAGUAAUGCCUAGGAAUCUGCCUGGUAGUGGGGGACAACGUUUCGAAAGGAACGCUAAUACCGCAUACGUCCUACGGGAGAAAGCAGGGGACCUUCGGGCCUUGCGCUAUCAGAUGAGCCUAGGUCGGAUUAGCUAGUUGGUGGGGUAAUGGCUCACCAAGGCGACGAUCCGUAACUGGUCUGAGAGGAUGAUCAGUCACACUGGAACUGAGACACGGUCCAGACCCCUACGGGAGGCAGCAGUGGGGAAUAUUGGACAAUGGGCGAAAGCCUGAUCCAGCCAUGCCGCGUGUGUGAAGAAGGUCUUCGGAUUGUAAAGCACUUUAAGUUGGGAGGAAGGGCAGUAAGUUAAUACCUUGCUGUUUUGACGUUACCGACAGAAUAAGCACCGGCUAACUCUGUGCCAGCAGCCGACGG